rnacentral:rRNA from 1 species
CCCUUAGAUGUUCUGGGCUGCACGCGUGCUACAAUGGCGUUUCCAGCAAGUCUGCGAACCCGAGAGGGCCAGCGGAUCUUCGAAUUGGCGUCGUGAUCGGGACAGUCGAUUGCAAUUAUUUGACUCAAACGAGGAAUUCCUUGUAAUCGCGAUUCAUCAUAUCGCGCUGAAUACGUCCCUGCCCUUUGUACACACCGCCCGUCGCUCCUACCGAUUGGGUGUGCUGGUGAAAUGUUCGGAUCGGCCGUUUGUCGCGGUUUCCGCGUCAUGUGGCUGAGAAGUUCAUUAAACCCUCCCACCUAGAGGAAGGAGAAGUCGUAACA